rnacentral:lncRNA from 1 species
UUAAAAACCAAUUUUCAUAAAUAAGAGGCAUUAAAUUUAAUUUCAUAGUUCAAGUGCUAAUUAGAAGUCAUUAAAUAAAUAUAUUCCCAAUAAUUCAACCUCCCUAUCCCUAACUCCCACACACCACACCUUCUCUCUCUCGUGUUCCCCUCAUUGUCGGACAGGCGUUUAUGCUACUUUCAUUUUUCUUUGAUCCGAAAACGCCUAUAUAUAUAAACCACCGGCAAAUGAAUGAGAUUUUCAUCUUUCCAAGGAAGAAGACUGUGAGGGUAUCUGGUCAAGAUGAGCUACUGCUGUUUUUAGUUAUUAUAUUACAAUUGCGUUGUGGAUUAGGGUUUGUAUGAACCUUGAUUUUGCAAUUGGUGCAAGCUUGAGGAAAGUCUGGGGUUAAGUUUGUUCUAUUUGUUUUGAUUGAUGUUGAUUUUGUUAAUUAUAUGUGCUUAGGGUUUGAAUUCUGGGUUUAGGUUUUGUUUUGGCUUUUCGAUUUAGUCAUUUUAUCUUGCAGUUCAUGCUUCCUUGAUGGAUUGUCACGAUUGUGUUAGAAUUACGGUGUUAUGUCGAAAUGCUAGGGUUUUAAUGGGAUAUGAUUUGUCGAUUUCUUAACAUCUUUUAUUUAUUUCUUGAUAAUUAGAGUUCGGAUGCGUUUAUUGAUUUAGUUAUAAUAUGAGGUGGCAAGUAGGUUUUAAUAUAACUUAAUUUAGGAAGUAAAAGUUUGAGAAUGUGAUUCUAAUGCAAGUCUGUAAUUGGGAUAAUGUGCAGAUGGCUCAUAUGAAGCAAAUUGCUGGUAAGUCCAUUGGAGGAAAGACUCCCAGAACUUGCUACUUAGGUUCUUCAUUGUUUUUUCUUCUUAUAAUUUCUAUAAUAUAUUUUUGUAAUCGAGAUAAUUAAAAUCACCUAUGAUCUUUUCCCCACAACCAGUAGGGGAGAAAAACUAAGCUAUUUUCUAUAAUGUUCCCUUCACAAGAUUGAUUGGUUUAGCUGAUAGCAGGGGUGUGUUACUACUGAAAAGCAUUUUUGGUUUUAUUUUUUUCCUAUGUAUUGCAUAUAGUCAGCUAAAUCAUUCCAAGUAUUUGAAAGUUAUGUUCUCUUUAUAGCCAACAAGAUAUAAAGAAAUGAAUGUGUGUUGAGUGUGCUAAUUUCCUGAUGGUAUGUAUAGGGAUAAAGCAAAGGUGGCUUUUCAGGCACAUGAUCUCCCAUCCUAACCUUGAAUGCAAGUGCUUUUAUCAUAUUGUAUUCUUUCAGCCUGAGCUUUACUUUAGAUUUUGAUUGAGGACGAGAAUGUUACAGUAGUCAUAGGUUGAGAAUGCAUUUGAAUAAGAAUUGUAUUUUCCUAGGAGGAAAGGCUCACAGGAAGCAACUUGCUACUAAGGUUCUCCAUUGUUAUUGAUUUUUUUUUUCUUCUUAUGAAUUCAUCCAUGUAAUAUAUUUUUGCAAGGUUUCAUCUUUCACUGCUGUGGUAUGGUGCGAUGCCAAUAAUUUCAUUGCUAGUAGUACACGUGGUUCUGGUGAGGUGGUAUACUUUUGGUUGCUGGUGUUGGAAAUGGUGGUGAAUGACCAAAUAUAUCUUCAUUACGACUGUUUGUGACCAAAUUUGUGUUAACUGUGACUAUAUGUGACUUGGUUACAUUUAGUCACAAAUUAGACUACCAUGGUCACAGACAAUCACAACGAAGACAAAUUUGGUCAUGAACACAUAAGAUCACGGUUCAUAAGCUAUGGGUCACAAUUCGCAGUUAAGAUCACAGUUCAC